rnacentral:rRNA from 1 species
UACAGAGGUGGCAAGCGUUGUUCGGAAUUACUGGGCGUAAAGGGCGCGUAGGCGGCCCGUCAAGUCCCGUGUGAAAGCCCCCGGCUCAACCGGGGAACGGCGCGGGAAACUAGCAGGCUUGAGUUCGGGAGAGGGAAGCGGAAUUUCGGGUGUAGCGGUGAAAUGCGCAGAUAUCCGAAGGAACACCGGUGGCGAAGGCGGCUUCCUGGACCGACACUGACGCUGAGGCGCGAAAGCUAGGGGAGCAAACGGG